UACGUAGGUGGCAAGCGUUGUCCGGAUUUAUUGGGUUUAAAGGGUGCGUAGGCGGUCAUUUAAGUCAGUGGUGAAAUACGGCAGCUCAACUGUCGAGGUGCCAUUGAUACUGGUUGACUUGAGUACUGAUGAGGUAGGCGGAAUGGACGGUGUAGCGGUGAAAUGCUUAGAGAUCGUCCAGAACACCGAUAGCGAAGGCAGCUUACUAAGGAGUAACUGACGCUGAGGCACGAAAGUGUGGGGAUCAAACAGG
rnacentral:rRNA from 1 species